AUUUUUUAACACAGAUGUCAACACUUCAUAGUUACUUGGUGGCAUGACUUUUCAUUUCACUCUUUCUUUCUUAUAAAAGUAGGAAGUGAAAAGCAAGCUAGAUCCAGGAUGGCACAGGAAGUGUUUGAGUGAAUUAUUGCAUACCAAGAUAAAGAUAUUAUCUUUUAACUCAUUCAUAUUUAACACUUUAUAGAUAUGUAGAGACUACCUACAAGGAAUAUGAAUAUAUUAACUGUAGAACUCAAUCAAAUGAUGAUUAUAAAUUGUUUUAACAAUUAUUUCUUUAAAAGCUUUUUGAGUCUUUUGAUUUGGUACAAAUUAACACUUUUAACACUUUUGAUCUGAGUUACUUAAGAUAGUUUUAAAGGUUUUGUCUUUUCAUAUCGUGUUAACAUUUGUGAAUUCAUUUAGUCCACUGAAAAGUAUUAAAUUAAGUCAACUUAACUUAGGCAACUGGGGUUUUUCAUCUAACACUAACAUUUCAUGCUUUCCUUAAGAGUCAUAUUAAGAAAACUAAAUUAUUUCUGUUUUAGUCAGCUUUUUUGAAGCUGCAACUAAAAGUUUAUUUGGUGGCUCAUGAUUUUAGAGGUCUCAGUCCAUGGGCACCCAGCUCAUUCUUCAGGUAUCCAGGUGAGGCAAAAGAGCAUUGCAGAAGAAUGUGGCAGAGGGAGAUGGGUCACAAGAUGAUCAGAAGGCAGAGACAAACUCCACUUGCCAGAUUUUA
rnacentral:lncRNA from 1 species